rnacentral:rRNA from 1 species
CAGAGGGUGCGAGCGUUAAUCGGAAUUACUGGGCGUAAAGCGUGCGUAGACGGUUAUUUAAGUCGGAUGUGAAAGCCCCGGGCUCAACCUGGGAAUUGCAUUCGAGACUGAAUAGCUAGGGUGCGGUAGAGGGAAGCGGAAUUUCCGGUGUAGCGGUGAAAUGCGUAGAUAUCGGAAGGAACAUCAGUGGCGAAAGCGGCUUCCUGGACCAGCACCGACGUUCAGGCACGAAAGCGUGGGGAGCAAACAGGAUUAGAUACCCUGGUAGUCCACGCCAUAAACGAUGAGGACUAGACGUUGGAGGGGUAAGCCUUUCAGUGUCGUAGCUAACGCGCUAAGUCCUCCGCCUGGGGAGUACGGCCGCAAGGUUG